GCAGUUAAGUUCAUCUGGUGUCCUUUGUAAUACUGCAAAGAGAACUUCUUACGCUGUAGCUGAAUGAGAGAAAUAUCCCAUUCCAAACCUCUGAUGGAAACUGGCCAAGUCAGCGUGUGAGAGGAAGAAGGAAGUGUGUGGCACCUCCUGCCUCGCUCUCUUCCUCCUGUUCCGGCCAUGUGAAGUGCUGGCUCCUCAUUUUCCUUCCACCAUGAUUGGAAGCUUCCUGAGGCCUCACCAGAAGCAGAUGCUGCCAUGCUUCCUGUACAGCCUGCAGAACCGUGAGCCAAUUAAACCUCUCUUCUUAUAAACUACCCAGUCUCAGGUACUUCUUUAUAGCAGUGUGAGAACAGACUAAUACAAUGACUACUGAUCAUAGUGGAUUGGCCACUGGAGAGAAAGCUGAUGGAGCAGAGAGCACUUGGGAAGAAACCAUUAAACACUGAAAGAGGAAGAGGUGGUGGAGAUACAUUGGAGAGAACAAAUACAAUAGACUUAUCUGAGGUCAAAUCAACAGAACCCAGCAACGGAUCAGACAGAGAGAGAAAGCAGAAAGAGUGAAAUAAAACUCCACGGUUCUAGCCUGAGUGAUUAAGGGCAGAGCAAUGUUCUGGACCUUGCUGGGAGAUUCAGGAAGAAGAGGGAAAUCUGGGUUUAUUUCAAGGAGGGGUGGGAAGGAGAGAUGAGAUGAAGGAGGACCAGGAAAAUAAAAUAUUUCAAGUUAGCUAUGCUGCAUUGGAAGUGCUUACCGCAUAUCCAGAAAAAGUUUGCCUACCCUUGCACCGGAAGCAGGAGGGAAAGAGAUGGGCUUGUUGGAAACCAGGAAAGGAGAAAUUGACAGAGCUGCAGGGAGCAAUCCCUUUCCACCUUCACCCAGGACUGAGAUCAUGUCAUACAAAAGCCCUGUGUUGUUCAGAGGACCAGAGGGGCUGGAGUGGAGUGAAGUGGUGUGAUCUCGGCUUACUGCAACCUCUGCCUCCCAGGUUCAAGCGAUUCUCCUGCCUCAGCCUCCUGAGUAGCUGGGAUCACAGACGCCUGCCAUCAUGCCUGGCUAAUUUUUGUAUUUUUAGUAGAGAUGGGGUUUCGCCAUGUUGGUCAGGCUGGUCUCGAACUCCUGACCUCAAGUGAUCCACCUGCCUCGGCCUCCCAAAGUGCUGGAAUUACAGGCAUGAACCACUGCACCUGGCCUCUAUUACCUUUAAAAGUGCUCCUUGAAGAGAAAAUCCACUCUGCCGUUUCAAGCUUGACUUCCCUCCCCAGUCUUAGAGACUGAUCACUGGGGCAGAGUGACAUUUUCCCACAAUGCUGGCUCAUUAUUUUCCUCCUGGAAUUGCAAAUCCAAGGGACAAGUGGUACAGCCUGCACCCAUCCAGAAGGGGAGGGAAUCCCACCAGAGGUGCCCUGAAACAAAGAAAACAAGUAACUUCAAAACCACAUCCUAAAAUCUGGACCUGUGACAGGACAGAUGGAACUCUGGAUUGUUUGAUUCUAUCAGCAGAACAGAGGAAGGAAAUGUUUUAAAACGAGAUUAUGUUAUUUUCCCCAGUUAUUAUGAAGCCUUCCUGAAAUGAACUUUAAAUAUCGGCCACCACUUUCAUGAGGCUGAAUGGGAUUCAGCAAUUAGGAGCGUUGCAGGGAAGUGUGGCAGGGCAGAGGUGGGACAAAUUGCAGAUCCCUGUGGGGUCCCUUGGUUAGGUGACAAUUAGUCUAUAAAACACAGCUGUGUGUGUUAGGGAGGGAGUGGUGUCUUUAAAAAGCUCUGUGCCCAAUAGGAACAUUAAUUAAAGGGUCUUUUUUCAAAGGACAUUAAUAAUAAUGAAUAAAAAGCCUUCUGCGA